UGGAGCCAGCCACCAGAUCAGACAUGCUGAAUCUUUCCCGUUUUCAUCCACCUGGAGUCAUCGGCAUUGGGCUGGCACUGGUCAUUCUGGACCUGAGGCAGAAGGGGUUUGGGAUGAGAAGCUCGGCCUCCCGAGGAGAUGAGGACCUCACUCCCUGCUUCCUGAUGCUCUACAACACUGAUCUCGUGGGAGAGGGGCCGCCAGUUCCCAAACCGAGAACAGAUAAGUAAGCUACACUCAACGAUGUCUGAACAUUGAUCCUGGAGAAAGAAUUUACAGUUCAGUCACUUGCAAGUCAUGACAAGUCUGAACAGGAUGGAACGUCUAGGAAAUCCACAGGCUCUGUCCUCACCACCUGUGUCCUUCGCCUUGUGCCUUUUCUCCUCAGCUCCCCAGGCCUCCGCCCGUUUUGCUCACAGCUUUCUCUAGAGUGAAAACCAAAACACUUCCCCAACAUGGCUAUACUUGUGAUUGAUUCCUAUAAAUGAAUCUGAACCUCAGAGGUUCCUGACCUCUCUGUAAACCCUCUCCUCCCUUUCCCCAGGCUAGGUGCUUACAAAAAAUUCAAAGAUGA